GUCGAACGAGAUCUUCGGGUCUAGUGGCGCACGGGUGCGUAACGCGUGGGAAUCUGCCCUUUGGUUCGGAAUAACAGUUGGAAACGACAGCUAAUACCGGAUGAUGACGAAAGUCCAAAGAUUUAUCGCCAGAGGAUGAGCCCGCGUAGGAUUAGCUAGUUGGUGUGGUAAAGGCGCACCAAGGCGACGAUCCUUAGCUGGUCUGAGAGGAUGAUCAGCCACACUGGGACUGAGACACGGCCCAGACUCCUACGGGAGGCAGCAGUGGGGAAUAUUGGACAAUGGGCGAAAGCCUGAUCCAGCAAUGCCGCGUGAGUGAUGAAGGCCUUAGGGUUGUAAAGCUCUUUUACCCGGGAUGAUAAUGACAGUACCGGGAGAAUAAGCUCCGGCUAACUCCGUGCCAGCAGCCGCGGUAAUACGGAGGGAGCUAGCGUUGUUCGGAAUUACUGGGCGUAAAGCGCACGUAGGCGGCUUUGUAAGUUAGAGGUGAAAGCCUGGAGCUCAACUCCAGAACUGCCUUUAAGACUGCAUCGCUUGAAUCCAGGAGAGGUGAGUGGAAUUCCGAGUGUAGAGGUGAAAUUCGUAGAUAUUCGGAAGAACACCAGUGGCGAAGGCGGCUCACUGGA
rnacentral:rRNA from 1 species